rnacentral:rRNA from 1 species
CCUACGGGAGGCAGCAGCUAAGAAUAUUCCGCAAUGGACGAAAGUCUGACGGAGCGACGCCGCGUGGAUGAAGAAGGCCGAAAGGUUGUAAAAUCCUUUUGCCGAUGAAGAAUAAGUGGUGUAGGGAAUGACAUCAUGAUGACAUUAGUCGGUGAAUAAGCCCCGGCUAACUACGUGCCAGCAGCCGCGGUAAU